GACCUCUCUGAUGGCCUAGUGGUUAGAGCGUCAGCCUCUGAUGUAGGAGGUCGAGAGUUCGAACCCCGGCCGAGUCA